rnacentral:rRNA from 1 species
AGUGAACGCUGGCGGUAGGCCUAACACAUGCAAGUCGAACGGCAGCACAGUAAGAGCUUGCUCUUACGGGUGGCGAGUGGCGGACGGGUGAGGAAUACAUCGGAAUCUACUUUUUCGUGGGGGAUAACGUAGGGAAACUUACGCUAAUACCGCAUACGACCUACGGGUGAAAGCAGGGGAUCUUCGGACCUUGCGCGAUUGAAUGAGCCGAUGUCGGAUUAGCUAGUUGGCGGGGUAAAGGCCCACCAAGGCGACGAUCCGUAGCUGGUCUGAGAGGAUGAUCGGCCACACUGGAACUGAGACACGGUCCAGACUCCUACGGGAGGCAGCAGUAGGGAAUAUUGGGCAAUGGGCGCAAGCCUGAUCCAGCCAUACCGCGUGGGUGAAGAAGGCCUUCGGGUUGUAAAGCCCUGUUGUUGGGAAAGAAAAGCAGCAGGUUAAUACCCCGCUGUUCUGACGGUACCCAAAGAAUAAGCACCGGCUAACUUCGUG